rnacentral:rRNA from 1 species
GAUGAACGCUGGCGGCGUGCCUAAUACAUGCAAGUCGAACGAACAGAUUAGAAUCUUUCUCCUCGGACGUUAUCGGCUGACGUGGUAGUAACACGGGGAUAAACUACCUAUAAGACUGGGAUAACUUCGGGAAACCGGAGCGAAUACCGAAUAAUAUAUUGAAUCGUAUGGUUAAAUAGUAUAAUACGAUUUUCCUGUCACUUUUACAUUAAUACGAGCUGCAUUAGCUAGUUGUUAAGGUAACGGCUUACAAAGGCAACGAUGGGUAGCCGCCCUGGGAGGGUGCUCGGCCACACUGGAAUUGAGAAACGGUCGAGACUCCUGCGGGAGGCAGCAGUAGGGAAUCUUCCGCGAUGGGAGAAAGCCUGACGGAGCAACGACGCGUGAGUGAUGAAGGUCUUCGGAUCGUAAAACUCAGUUAUUCGGGAAGAACAAAUGUGUAAGUAAAUAUGAACGUCUUGACGGUACCUAAUCAGAAAGGAACGGCUAACUACGUG